rnacentral:lncRNA from 1 species
CGUAGUCUAUUUAAGUCCUUAGCCAAUACAAACUCUAACUCUUAUCCUAACUUAGGAUCAAGUUCUCUUCACAUAAGGAGACAUUCCUCCUUAUCCCAAAUACAACCUGUUCGAUUACGUUCAGAAGAUAUUGAUGCGUGAUCUUUAGUGCAUAUCUUCCUCACGUGCUUCACAUGUGCCUUGGUUAAUUCAGACUGUGUUGUACAAGAUGGACCAGGUCCUUCCAUAGGUUCAUUUGUCAGUCUUCAAAACUACAACUGAAACUUGGCACCAAUUUCCCCCUUUUUGAUGAUGACAAACUCUAUGCUUAUUCUGAUCAGUAAACCUUUGAUCUCAGCUGAAAAUCAACGCUUAAAAAUUUUAACUUAUCAUCAAGGAGGUCAGAUUUUGGUCAUAAACAUCACUAGAAUUUUAUGCACAAUAUCUUCCCCCUUUUGGCAUCAUCAAAAGUUGCAUUAAUACACUGAAUCCUCUAAGUUAAUUAAUACUCAUGCCACUGGGGCAACUGCAAGUGAACACAUGGUCAGGUUAAUCACAAAUCACUUACAAAUAACUAUUUAGAACAAAUUCAACAGGAACAAGACAAGUUGUAUUCAUUGAUUAAAGAAGUGUUUCUACAGUGCAUUCCACAAAAAGAAUAACAAAAUAUCCAACCAUGAGCAAAAAAAAUAGAAUAAGAACAGACAAGAACUUCCUAGACUGGAAACUGGAAACUGAAAGGUUACUAGACCGGACAUUAAGAACAGGACACCUAAGGCUUGGAAGUGCUGGAGGGUUGGGCUUGUAGCAGAUUUAACAUUUGCUGGAGCAUGCCUUCGUUUUUUCCUUUUCUUUGGCAAGUUCAACUCUCAGUCCAUUACUUUCUCCCUCCAAAUCAGCAAUUCUGGCAUUGAGCCUUACAAUUUCAGCAUCCUUUGACCAACUGUUGAACCAAGGAUUUGACCUUACUGUUCAUAGGAGUCUUGGCAGAUGAACCAGGUCAAUAGGGCAGCAUUGAGCAGAUAGUCACAUGCUUGAAGGGUCUUGAAACCAAAGCGCUCCUUGCUGGAGGCCAUUUCCCACUUUUUCAAAGGAACAUGUAGUCGUUCAAGCACAGUAGUCAAGAUAAAACCAUAGGGAAUGGCAUGAGCCUUUGAACCAUUUAUCACCCUUUCAAGCAGCUUCACCAUAAAAACAGGCCACUUAAUCUGUUUUCCUUCAUUCAUACACUGCAUGAGCACCAGAUCCAUAUAUUUAGCUAUAUAAUCACCCUUUCAAGCAGCUUCACCAUAAAGAUAGGCCAAUUGAUCUUCGUCUCUUCAUUCAUACACUGCAUGAGCACCAGAUCCAUAUAAUUAGUUGUAUGCCUUCUUUCCUAUCUAAUCAGAAGGCACUUGUUGACAAAUUCGAAAAGUACUUUGUGCUCUGGCCUCAUCUCACUUUUCUGGACUGCCCUUGCCUCAGGCACUUCUUCAGCUGUGUUGGUGUCACGGAAAUCCUUGUUAUUUGCACCACCAAAGGAAACCCAUCCAAGCAAAGCCACCUCUGCCUUGUAUAAUCAUCAUAUCCCUCACAAGGGACACCCAGAGUCUUUCCCAAUUUUUUCAGCAUUGAAUUUCACUUUGACGCCCCUCAGUGUGCUGGUCACCUAACCAUUCUUCACUUUUCCAUUGGACAUGACUCUACUAGUUCCUUACUUACCAAUUUUCCAUGAAUGUGAACGACCAUGUCCUUCCAACCUUGUGCCUCCAGUGCUGUGACAAGCCUUAUCAUGCCUGGCUCCUCCAAGUCUUUUAGUAAUCUUCCCUUCAAUAUUUUUCUUUUGUCAAUGUUUGCAUACCUAUCAUGCUCUUCUUCAGACCCACUUUCAUAUUAUUCUUCUUCAAUAAUUGGUACUUUCACUUGUUCAGGAACUGGUUUGGAGGGUUUCUUAUAGGAAGUCCUAGGCUCUUUUGAUUUUGCAAGUGGAACCACCACGGUAGUGUUUCUUUCUUGAUGGACCAAUUCCAUCUCUUCUUCCUCAUCCUUCGCUAUAACUUCUUAACUUUCACCUAUCUUCCCUUUUCCCUUUUCUUUUCUUUUUCUCUUACUCUCCUCUAAGGCUUUCUGCAACUCAGCUUCACUCUCCCUAACCUUGCUUCUAGUUGUCCU